AACGCGAAGAACCUUACCUGGGCUCGAACGGCUGGUCAACGGCGGUGGAAACAUCGCUACCCCGCAAGGGGGUCCAGUCGAGGUGCUGCAUGGCUGUCGUCAGCUCGUGUCGUGAGAUGUUGGGUUAAGUCCCGCAACGAGCGCAACCCUUGUCCUGUGUUGCCACUCCGUAAGGAAGCACUCUCAGGAGACCGCCAGCGAUAAGUUGGAGGAAGGUGGGGAUGAUGUCAAGUCAUCAUGGCCUUUAUGUCCAGGGCUACACACGUGCUACAAUGGUCGGUACAAAGCGCUGCAAACCCGCGAGGGGGAGCUAAUCGCAAAAAGCCGGCCUCAGUUCGGAUUGCAGGCUGCAACUCGCCUGCAUGAAGCUGGAAUCGCUAGUAAUGCCGUAUCAGAACGAUGGCGUGAAUACGUUCCCGGGCCUUGUACACACCGCGCAUA
rnacentral:rRNA from 1 species